AGAGUUUGAUCAUGGCUCAGAUUGAACGCUGGCGGCGUGCCUAACACAUGCAAGUCGAGCGGUAACAGGUGUAGCAAUACAUGCUGACGAGCGGCGAACGGGUGAGUAAUGCUUUGGAAUCUUCCCAGUAGUGGGGAAUAACCAGUCGAAAGAUUGGCUAAUACCGCAUACGUCUGUAAAGGGAAAGCGGGGGCUCGUAAGACCUCGCGCUAUUGGAUGAGCCAAAGUCGGAUUAGCUAGUUGGUGGGGUAAUGGCCUACCAAGGCGACAAUCCGUAGCUGGUCUGAGAGGACGACCAGCCACACCGGAACUGAGACACGGUCCGGACUCCUACGGGAGGCAGCAGUGGGGAAUAUUGGACAAUGGGGGAAACCCUGAUCCAGCGACGCCGCGUGUGUGAAGAAGGCCUGCGGGUUGUAAAGCACUUUUAGUGGGGACAAAAAGCUACGGAUUAAUACUCUGUGGUCUUGAUUUAACCCAAAGAAAAAGCACCGGCUAACUCUGUGCCAGCAGCCGCGGUAAUACAGAGGGUGCGAGCGUUAAUCGGAAUUACUGGGCGUAAAGCGCGCGUAGACGGUUUUGUAAGUCAGAUGUGAAAUCCCUGGGCUCAACCUGGGAACUGCAUUUGAGACUGCAUGGCUAGAGUAUCGAAGAGGGAAGUGGAAUUUCCGGUGUAGC
rnacentral:rRNA from 1 species